rnacentral:rRNA from 1 species
UACGAAGGGGGCUAGCGUUGUUCGGAAUCACUGGGCGUAAAGCGCACGUAGGCGGACUUAUAAGUCAGGGGUGAAAUCCCGGGGCUCAACCUCGGAACUGCCUUUGAUACUGUGAGUCUCGAGACCGGAAGAGGUGAGUGGAAUUCCUAGUGUAGAGGUGAAAUUCGUAGAUAUUAGGAAGAACACCAGUGGCGAAGGCGGCUCACUGGUCCGGUUCUGACGCUGAGGUGCGAAAGCGUGGGGAG